CUGUUGGGUAGGGGAGCGUUCUGUAAGCGGAUGAAGGUGGCUCGAGAGGGCUGCUGGACGUAUCAGAAGUGCGAAUGCUGACAUAAGUAACGAUAAAACGGGUGAAAAACCCGUUCGCCGGAAGACCAAGGGUUCCUGUCCAACGUUAAUCGGGGCAGGGUGAGUCGGCUCCUAAGGCGAGGCUGAAAAGCGUAGUCGAUGGGAAACAGGUUAAUAUUCCUGUACUUGGUAAAGCUGCGAUGUGGGGACGGAGUAGGUUAGGUUAUCGCACUGUUGGAUAUGUGCGUUUAAGUUGGUAGGUGGGAAGUUUAGGCAAAUCCGGGCUUCCUUAACACAGAGAGAUGAUGACGAGGCUCUACGGAGCUGAAGUAACUGAUACCACACUUCCAGGAAAAGCCACUAAGCGAAAGGCUUUACUAAACCGUACUGAAAACCGACACAGGUGGUCAGGUAGAGAAUACUCAGGCGCUUGAGAGAACUCGGGUGAAGGAACUAGGCAAAAUAGCACCGUAACUUCGGGAGAAGGUGCGCCGGCGUAGAUUGUAAGGGCUAGCCCCUGAAGGUUGAACCGGUCGAAGAUACCAGCUGGCUGCAACUGUUUAUUAAAAACACAGCACUCUGCAAACACGAAAGUGGACGUAUAGGGUGUGAUGCCUGCCCGGUGCUGGAAGGUUAAUUGAUGGUGUAAUCGCAAGAGAAGCACCUGAUCGAAGCCCCAGUAAACGGCGGCCGUAACUAUAACGGUCCUAAGGUAGCGAAAUUCCUUGUCGGGUAAGUUCCGACCUGCACGAAUGGCAUAAUGAUGGCCAGGCUGUCUCCACCCGAGACUCAGUGAAAUUGAAAUCGCCGUGAAGAUGCGGUGUACCCGCGGCUAGACGGAAAGACCCCGUGAACCUUUACUAUAGCUUGACACUGAACAUUGAAUUUUGAUGUGUAGGAUAGGUGGGAGCCUUUGAAGCAGUGACGCCAGUCAUUGUGGAGGCGACCUUGAAAUACCACCCUUUAACGUUUGAUGUUCUAACGAAGAUGACGAAACGUGGUCUCGGACAGUGUCUGGUGGGUAGUUUGACUGGGGCGGUCUCCUCCCAAAGCGUAACGGAGGAGCACGAAGGUUUGCUAAUCACGGUCGGACAUCGUGAGGUUAGUGCAAUGGUAUAAGCAAGCUUAACUGCGAGACAGACAAGUCGAGCAGGUACGAAAGUAGGUCAUAGUGAUCCGGUGGUUCUGAAUGGAAGGGCCAUCGCUCAACGGAUAAAAGGUACUCCGGGGAUAACAGGCUGAUACCGCCCAAGAGUUCAUAUCGACGGCGGUGUUUGGCACCUCGAUGUCGGCUCAUCACAUCCUGGGGCUGAAGUAGGUCCCAAGGGUAUGGCUGUUCGCCAUUUAAAGUGGUACGCGAGCUGGGUUUAGAACGUCGUGAGACAGUUCGGUCCCUAUCUGCCGUGGGCGUAGGAGAAUUGGUUGGGGCUGCUCCUAGUACGAGAGGACCGGAGUGGACGCACCACUGGUGUUCCGGUUGUGUCGCCAGACGCAUUGCCGGGUAGCUAAGUGCGGAAGAGAUAAGUGCUGAAAGCAUCUAAGCACGAAACUUGCCAAGAGAUGAGUUCUCCCAAUCUAAGAGAUUGUAAGGGUUGUUGUAGACUACGACGUAGAUAGGUCUGGUGUGUAAGUGUAGUGAUACAUUGAGCUAACAGAUACUAAUUGCCCGAGAGGCUUAACUAU
rnacentral:rRNA from 1 species